rnacentral:tRNA from 1 species
CGGGGCGUGGCGCAGUCUGGUAGCGCACUUGACUGGGGGUCAAGUGGUCGCAGGUUCAAAUCCUGCCGUCCCGACCA